rnacentral:rRNA from 1 species
GCUUGCUCCACCGGAAAAAGAGGAGUGGCGAACGGGUGAGUAACACGUGGGUAACCUGCCCAUCAGAAGGGGAUAACACUUGGAAACAGGUGCUAAUACCGUAUAACAAUCAAAACCGCAUGGUUUUGAUUUGAAAGGCGCUUUCGGGUGUCGCUGAUGGAUGGACCCGCGGUGCAUUAGCUAGUUGGUGAGGUAACGGCUCACCAAGGCCACGAUGCAUAGCCGACCUGAGAGGGUGAUCGGCCACAUUGGGACUGAGACACGGCCCAAACUCCUACGGGAGGCAGCAGUAGGGAAUCUUCGGCAAUGGACGAAAGUCUGACCGAGCAACGCCGCGUGAGUGAAGAAGGUUUUCGGAUCGUAAAACUCUGUUGUUAGAGAAGAACAAGGAUGAGAGUAACUGUUCAUCCCUUGACGGUAUCUAACCAGAAAGCCACGGCUAACUACGUGCCAGCAGCCGCGGUAAUACGUAGGUGGCAAGCGUUGUCCGGAUUUAUUGGGCGUAAAGCGAGCGCAGGCGGUUUCUUAAGUCUGAUGUGAAAGCCCCCGGCUCAACCGGGGAGGGUCAUUGGAAACUGGGAGACUUGAGUGCAGAAGAGGAGAGUGGAAUUCCAUGUGUAGCGGUGAAAUGCGUAGAUAUAUGGAGGAACACCAGUGGCGAAGGCGGC